CUGAACAUACUUUAAACCAAAUAUGAAUAUCAUCUUUAAACAUACCUAUAAACGAAAUAAAUAAGCACUACUUAAAGAUGUAAUAUUAUUACCUUAAAAAAAUAUUCGGAUUUGUAUGCGGUUGCUAAAUAAGCAGCAGUAUUUGCCUCGACUACAUCAUCUGUAGCUAGUUAUAUCCUAACUCUUAGUAUGGUCCAUUCUCAUAACCUUCAUCUUCCACAACUUCUUCUGUAUAUACAAAUCUCUUAGCUUUAGGUUUACUAAAAAUACUCCAUCCUUAAUUGAAAACAUCAUCACAUAGUACACCAUAUUUAUGCUUGAGAUACUUAGAUGUAAGGCUCAUGUAGUCACCCUCAAUCUCGAGUUAUUAUAUAAAAAGUCGGAGUUUAUUUUCUUUUUCCAAAUAAAUAAAACAUCAGUAGCAUACAAAUAAUUUACUUGCCUAAUGAUCUUUAUAUGCUAGAAUUAUUCAAAUUUGAAGGAAUAUAUAAAAUAUGUUCAAAAACUUAUGCGAGUCGUCGAUUACAACAAAAUGAGUCAACUUACCUGAUAGCGGAUUUGAAAUUACACCAUGUCCAGUACUCUUAGAAACAUGCACAUCUGCAAUAAUGAUAUAAUGCAAGAUAUUUUACUAAAGGAAAUUUUCAUUUGAAGUAAUUCAUUUUCUAAGGAAAGUGAAGAACUAAACUACUAAAGUAUGAGCUAGAGAAGGAAAAAUUUGUCACCAUAAUAAGUAAAAGAGAAGCAUUCAUUAAAGACCAUGUACUGUCUUGAUAUUCCUGAAUAUGGAAAUGAGAAAAAUGUUAGGAAGUCCCUGACUGAAUAAUCCGCUUUAUGUUCUCCCAUCAGCGCCGGCUCUAACGUGAUGAGGGGUAAGGCAUAGGCCUUAGGCCUGCAAAUAUUGGGGUGGGGGGCAUUUUUUAAAAAGAAUAGGCUUAUAGGUAUUUUAAAAAUGAUAUUUAGUACUUCUAAUAAAAAAUUAAAGUUGUUAAUAUAAGAGAAAAUAGAGCUCUUUUAGAUAUGUAAAUAAAGUAAUAAUUUGACAUAUUCAAAAUGAAUUGAUGUACAGUUUUCUCAACGUUUUAGUUUUACUCCUUUAUUAGAUAAUGUAUAAAAAAAUUCACUCUCCCUUUCUUAAUAUGUCCAAGUCAAUCUUUCUUUUCUCCAAUAUAAUUAUAUUUCAGAAACUCCUAUAUAUUUUCUGUCUUUCUCUUUAAUAUUCUUACUCAGUUGCUUUCUCCGAUAUUUCAUUACUCACUUUCUUUCUACAAGAUUUCAUUAUCUUCACUGUUUAACAAUAUUUUUAAGCUUCCAAUAAUUAUAUACUUCUAUUUCUCUAUAAAGUAUUAUCUAAUGUCAACAAUAUCUCAAGAAAGAUUAAAUGAGCUGGCUAUAUUAUCAAUUGAAUAAAGAUACUUAGAGAAAGUAUAAAUUAUUAACAACUUUGUAUUACAAAAAAUUAUAAGAACAUAUUUCAAAUAAAAAUGUAUACUAUAAAUUUCUUUUAAAUUUUUAGGCCUCAUAUUAAACUUUGGCCUUAGGCUCCGUAUAUCCUUGAGCGGAGCCCAUGUCUCACAUAUUAUAUUAAUUUGUGGGUCAAUCAAUUUCAACAUCAUACAAUAGAGGUAUUAAACAGAUAAUAUGGAGGGGACAUGUUGUGGGGUGUAACAGUUCAAGUAUAUAACCAACGAACAAAGAAAUGGAACUGAAUAAUUAACAUCAAUAAAAGAGAGCCAGUAAAUCGACAAUUGCACGGCACCAACCUUCGUGCUUUUACUCUCAAUUCUCACCAAAACUGUCAAAUAUAGAGCACGACAUCACCCUUCGUGCUUUCCUCACAUACUCUCACAUCAAGGCACGGAAUGAUCCUUCGUGCUCAAAUAAUAAAGAAACAUGGUACGGAAAGACCCUUCGUGCAUAAUUAUCAAGACAUGGCACGGAAAGACCAUUCGUGCAUAAUUAUCAAAACAUGGCACGGAAAGACCCUUCGUGUCGUGCUCAAAUAAUCAAGAAACAUGGAACGGAAAGGCCCUUCAUGCAUAAUUAUCAAAACACGGCACGGAAAAGCCCUUCGUGUACAAUCUCUCUUCCUCACCCAAUCACCGGUCACAACCAAUCGGGAAAACGAAUAUGCAACAAGAUUAAACAUCCCGGCAACGGAGAACAAUUCAACAAUAAGUCUCGGCAAGGGAAAACGAAUCAACAACAAGUUCGGCAAGGGAAAGAUACCACACUUCCUUCUUUAACUCAUUCGCUUCUCAACUAUCACUUUGUAAUUCAUUUAACAAGUAAUUAACUCAAUUGUUUCGCCUCUUUCGAAUUUAAAAGCAACUACGACUCACGGUCAUGCUAGAAUCGGGCGCAUAGGUAACCGUCAUCAUACCUAUACACCGACUCCAUAUAGCACAUAGCAAAUAUUGUACUAAUCUUAUUUCCUCAAACCAAAGUUAAAACAAACACUUACCUCGAAAGCUCUAAACUCAACUCACGCCUCUAGGAUAGUUUUACCCCUCGAAUUUGCCACAAAAUCGGUCGAAUCUAAUCAAAAUUUACUCAAAUGUAUCAACAAAUGCUAGUUAAAACAAUUUGAAUGCAUAAGAAUGAAUUUCCCAAAGUUUUACCUAAAAUUUCCCAAAGUGCCCCGGGGCCCACAUGGUAAAAACCGGGGUUCAAACUAAAAUCAGGUUAUCCAUUCCCCCACGAGUUCAUAUAUGUAAUUUGUUUUGAAUUCGGACCUAAACUGAGGUCCAAAUCCCUCAUUUUAAGAAAAUCUAGGUUCUACCCCAAGUCCCCAUUUUUACCCAUUAAAAGCUUUGAUUUUAAGAUGAAAUCAUGAUAAAACAUGUUAAAGAUUAAAGAAAUUGAGUGAAAGUUGACUUACAAUUGAUUUGGGAAAGAAUGAAUUAAGAGAAAAUCAACAAUGGAGGUUUGAGUUUUGAAAAUGUGAAGAAUGAAGUUUAAAACCGUCUAAGUAUAGAAUGCACAAGUGCAGAUAUAGCAAUUGCGAAGAUUUGUUCGCAAUUGCGAACUUAGCAGAAGAAAGGCGGAUCUCGCAAUUGCGAGAAAAUGUUCACAAUUGCGAACAAGACAGAAUUUGGGCAGAACUCGCAUUUGCGAGGGAAAGUUCGCAUUUGCAAAAUCAUGACUUAAGCUGGGCAAUCGCAUUUGCGAAGACCGGGCUGGUAGGAAGGGGAUCGCAUUUGCGAGUUUUUCUUCACAUUUGCGAGUUUUUCUUCGCAUUUGCGAUAAGAGCAGGCCAGGGGGGAUCUCGUAUUUGCGAGGGUGGCUUCGCAAAUGCAAAGCCCGCAGAUACCAACUGCUCCAACGUAACAAAAUGAACCUAACACCUAUCCAAAACUCACCUGAGCCCUCGGAGCUCCAACCCAAAUAUGCACACAACCUCAAAAAUAUCCUACGGACUUACUCGUGCGAUCAAAUCGAGACAACCAAAUAAAAGGUUUUCAAAGUCUCAUAAGCACAAAAAAAGAAAAAAUUACGGUGAUAACUCCUUUGGGUCAUCAUACUAAUGGUCUUCCCUCGAAUGUCAACACUCUUUAAAAAAGAGAAUAAAUUUCAAGCUAGAUUGUCCAUAAUGGUUUCAUUACUGGUUCAAGCAAUAACUAAAACUGAAAACCCAAAUUCUACUAUUACUGAGAUAAAGAAAAUAAAUAUUAAAAAAAAAGGAAAAGAAAAAAAAUCACCUUUAGAUGAGCAAUGACAUUCUGAAGUUGAUUCGCCCAAAUGGAUACUUCACUUCAGAAAUUCCCAAGACUUAAUAAAUACCAUAAAUCGUAUUCCUAGCCUGAAAACACCUUAAAAAAACUACUUAAAUUGAAACAAUGGAGCAAGACAAAAGACAUAAUCCGUGAUUCAAAAAUCAGAGCAGGAGCCAUAAAUUAGAGAAGAAGAAUAAUACUUACAAAAUGUAACUAAUAUGGACAGAAAAAUGAGAGAAAACGCAUCUGAAGGGAAGCACUCCACUAGAGAAGAAGCAGCUCAGCCGAAGGGUUGAAAAGGGAAAACCUAGGGCUAGAGGCAUAAUGGAAUUAAAAGAGGGAAAGAUUCGGAAAAUAUUUUGUAAAAGGAGGGAGAACUU
rnacentral:lncRNA from 1 species